rnacentral:rRNA from 1 species
GACGUAGGGCGCAAGCGUUGUCCGGAUUUAUUGGGCGUAAAGAGCUCGUAGGCGGCUUGUCGCGUCGACUGUUAAAACCCGUGGCUCAACCAUGUGGUCUGCAGUCGAUACGGGCAGGCUAGAAUUCGGUAGGGGAGACUGGAAUUCCUGGUGUAGCGGUGAAAUGCGCAGAUAUCAGGAGGAACACCGGUGGCGAAGGCGGGUCUCUGGGCCGAUAUUGACGCUGAGGAGCGAAAGCGUGGGGAGCGAACAGG